GAUUAAAGGCGUGUGCCACUGCUGCCUGGCCGCUUGGCUUUUUCUUAAACUUGGGUUCCAGGGAUCAAACUCAGGCUGUCAGACUUUUGCAGCAAACAAGUGAUUCUACCCACUGAGCCACCUCACCUGACUUUGAUUGUUCUCGUUUGCCUUCUAUCACUGUGACAGAACUGACAGAACCGACCUGUGGAGGGAAGGAUUGAUUUGGCUCCCGUGUCCCAAGGCACCGUCCAUUACUGAGGAAUGUCAGGACAGGAACUACAGCAGAGAACUGGGAAGAACAUUGUUUACUGGCUUGCUCCCCAUGUCCGGCUCAGCUUGCUUUCUUAUAUUACCCAGGACCACCUGCCCGGGGGUGGCUCUCGCUCUGGUGUUCAGGUUCCUCCCGUAUCAUUUAUGAAUCAAGAAAAUACCCCACAGGUUUCCCGACAGGCCAAUCUGAAGGAGACAUUUUCUCAGUUGACAUUCCCUCUUCCCAGAUGAUCCUGGCUUGUGUCAAGCUGACAAAUAAGAUAAACAAAAAAACAGCCAGCACAACAAUGUCAUUGACUGUAUAAUGAGAUGUCUCAAUCUGGUCAUCCUGUAUCCUUCCAUUCUAAUUUUCUAUUAUACUGUCUGAGACGUCUCACUGAAGCCCAGGCUGACCCGGGACUCUGUAGCCGGCUGUUAAUCCUUUGUUUAUCCCUCACUCGCCUUCGCCCUUCUCUUCCCUCCCUGUCUUAUCCUCAGCCAUUCUGUGCCAUUGUUCCGAAAGCCUAUGCCCUGCCUUGCCCAGGCAAGACAGCAAAUCAUUGCAUAAUCCCUUCUCUUCCUGGCUCCUGAUCGGCUGCUCCGGAGGUGGAUGUAUAGAACCUACCACCUCUACUUGUAACCCACUUGGGAGUGAGAGUGUUAUUUUUAGGCACAGUAAUGUAAAAAGCUCUUGCUAGACUGUUCUGGGGGCAGGGGAGUGUCCUCAGCCCUUCGGGGAAAUGAGGGAUUCUUUUUCUAUUCCAGCCAGUAGCCAGAGUGGGUUGUCUGUAGGAGCAGGGACAGUUCACUGCUCCCUUCUACCCCGGUUUUAACAGGUGCUUAACCAUCGUAAGUGUUGAGAGCUUUAAACCACUGGGGCUUUAGGGUGUCUUCCUGCUUAGUGGCCUAUUAUAAUAAACCAUUUCUGCACAGAUGUAGCAUCUGGGUUGUAAAUGUCCACCCGCCACCCUGCUGCCAUGCCCGCAUGGAGUGGGUCCCUUGCCAGCCUGCUGCUGCAUCUGGCUAGCAUGCCAGCAUGGUUCCCUGCACAAGUGGAGUACCCUGGCCCAGCCAGCUGGGGGUUUCUCACUCGUGAAUAAUUCAUAACAUUCACUUCAUCAGGUUUGUUGGAUCUUAUGGAACCCAAAUCAGCCUGGAACUCUCUAUACAGCUGUGGAUGAAACUUGAACUCCUGACCCUCCUGUUUCCACCUCCCAAGUUCUGGGGUGACAACAUUACCAUGCCUGGCUCCAGAUCUUUUAUAAUAUAAUCAUAUACUGGAACCUGCUAGGAUCCUUCUACAUGAUUACAGGGUCAAAAGAGGAUGAAACCAUGCUGACAGGAUGGCUCAAUGGCUCUUCCAGAUUGGUUUCUAUUACUGGCCAAAAGCAACUUGGGAGGAAAAGCUUUAUUUGGCGACAUGUCCAUCAUGAAGGGAAGUCAG